rnacentral:lncRNA from 1 species
CGCAGACAAUGGCUGCUUUGUCCAGAAGAGAUGAUGAUUUAGAUGACAACCUGGCUUAAACCUCAGAAACCUUCAAUCUCUCCUUCUUCAAACAGUUUUUAUUAGAAGGAUGGCUGUGAAAAAUGAAGCCCUUAUGCACAAAGCCACCGCGUUUCACUGCGAUGUUCACCUGGCCUAUGAAGAUCUCCGGACACAAAACCAGGCAACAAAAUCAGGAUGCAACAAGAUGGAGGGGCAAAGCACAGAAGCGGAGUGGGCCCUGCCGUAGAAGAGCUGCAAGCUCAGGAACAAAACGGCCACAUCAUGCACAGAAGACAGUGCCCCAUGACAGAUACUCCAUUUCUUACUCAGACACCCACUCUGAGAAAACAGUUGACUUUCACUGGCCAUGAGAACCAUCUGGAUUCUGGUGAUAACUGGAUCCUCCUGUUCCCAAGGCUACCCAUCAAGUAGGUGUGUGGUGAGACCCAGGAUUCUGUACUGAUAACAGGGGGCUGGGGGCUGGGACUCUGCUGUGCAAUCCACUGACGUAGGAUCCGUAAACAUCAUCCACUUAGAUAGGUCUUCUCUGUCUUUCCCAGUGUCUGUGUGCCAGAUGCUGGGGCUGCUCAGUCCUGCAAAGCUCUGUCGCCAGCCUUCUAGUAGAAGAAAUGUGCAAGCUGGAAGUGUCUCUUAGUCUCUUCACUGAUAGCCAAUGGAAUGUCCAUUUGAGCCAAUUUGGGGGAGUUUAUUAGCAGAAAUGAGGUAAACACUAAAUGGCAAAAUGGAUCACCUUCCCGUGGAAGCUGCCACCACACUAUGAGGGAUCAGCCUCAUGAAAGGACACUCAGUUAUUAUUCCCUCUCACUCCAUAAACAGGAUAUAUUCAAAGUCAGCACAUCAGUAAGAUAUUCCAGACAAAGCAUCCGUAGCAAAGAGUUAAGAUCUAAAUGCAACAAUUCAAAAGCCAGGAGAGACCAAGAAGCACAUGAUAGCUUUAUUAUUCUAAAUUGCCCAUUUUAGCACAGAUUCUAAAAUUGAAAUAGAGCAAAUUCUGUCUCUGUCUGUAUCAAAAUGGUUCUCGCUGCCCUCCAGCCCUCCAGAUCUACAGAUUGGAUUCAAAUGAGCUAAUGGAUUGCUCCUUGCAUGUGCUCAGGUGAGCCUUUAUGUGUCUUCCUUUUAGGAAAAUGCCCUCUGCCCACAGCCUACAGCCAAAGGAUUUUGUGGGUUGAGUCUCCUAAGCAGAAAGCUCAGUAUUAAUCCAGGCUUGCUAGGUCAGCGAUUCUUUCCUACUGUUAUAGUCAAAGAUGUCAAUGACAAGCGAGGAGUCAUGACUCUCAGUGAUUGCUCUCUUUCUUCUUUAUUUCUUUUAAAUGGUAGAAUGAACAUAGUCAAUCUCAGUGGUAGGUUAAUUUCUAGUGCCCGUUAAAAACUCUAUCAAAAUAUUUUAUAGUUAAAUAUUUUAUAUUUUAUUUAAAAUUUUACAUUUAUUCUAAAUUUAUUUAUUUAUUUUUACCUUAUUUUAUAUUAAAUACUUUAUAGCUCUGUUGCCAAGAACCUGGAAACACCUGCUGCAGCAUCCUUGGUCCAAAUUUGCUUCUUAAAACCCCCAAUUUGGGUAUGAAAGUCAGCCUCCUCAGAUGACAAUCUUUCUCAGAUAAAUUUUUGUUGUUUCCAGUGUUCUAAGGAAUUUCGAUUCCUGGAGAGUUUAAGGACAUUGCUUACUCUGUAACUGUACCUUCCAGCACGGUGAGGCCAAAGGGAUACUCUCCUUUACUAGUGAUUUCUCAGUCUGAAGGCACCAUUUCUGGUCACCUUCAGUCUUUGGCAAAAUGCCUGGGGGAGGCACAUAGUUUUCAGGUACGGGGUGGAGUGUUUUGAUUUUUCAUUGUUUCUCUUCUUUCUCACCCUAGCAUACUGGAUUUAGUUAGAAAGUUGAAGCAACGGACUGUGCACCAACUCAUGGGUCCAGGAGAGAGUAGGGGAGAGGAAGACAGAGAAGAAACACACACACACACACACACACACACACACACACAUAUGACAGAGAGAGAGAGAGAGAGAGAGAGAGAGAGAGAGAGAGAGAGAAAGAGAGAGAGAGAGAGGAGUACUGCUUGAUAAGAAAAGGCAGUGGUUGUAUUAGGGAAGUGUUUACAUAAUACUAAUGCUCUGACUUGGAUGUACUUUGUCCUCCGAGUGUUGUAGACUGAGUGCUCCGAGUGCCGAGACCUUUAAGAUGGAGUAUGUGAGAGGUGGUUAGGUCAUCGGGAACACUGUUCUCAGAAGGCAUUAGGCAGUUACCAUGGAGACCUGAUUAGGCCUAAUAAUGUUGUUAUGAAAAUCUAAGAUUAGCCCCUCCCUACUCUCCUGAUUCCUGACUGUCUCCGUGAUUUCUUUCUCACACCUGUCCCAUGGUGAAGCCACCCUCCAUGACUUGACAAUUAGUGGGAUCCUUGCCAAUGCCUUCCUUCAUCAAACUGUUUUGACUUUCAACCUUCCAAACUAUGAAUUACAUAAAACUCUUCUUUAUAAAGUAUCCAACGUCAGGCAUUUUGUCAGAGCUAUGGAAAGGGAACAAAUAUGGCUACCUAUGGUUGGGAUAGAGCUGACCUUUGCUUUAGAGAAUUCUGUAUGAAACUCGCCUUGGCUUUCUCUAAUACUGGUGACCUAGUCUGAUGUUUUAGACUUUGUGUGCUAGACUAUAUCUUUUCCCUGCAUGGUAGUUAGCUUCAUGCCAAUCUGUCGGCAGAGAGCACUCCUAGAUCAACAAGUCACAUAUCUCUGUAACCUCACCAGGAGCUCACACUGCUACUGUUUCUCACAUAUCACUUGCUUGAUGGCCUAUGGGUAUCCUCAAAGCUCCUUGCUUCCUCUGGGAUCCACACUUCCUCAUGCGAAUCCAUGGAAAUAAGAAGAUAUACCUUCAUCUUCCCAAAAGAUCGGUUGGGACAGAGGUUCAUCUUGCUCCUGGGCCACUGCCACUGUUCAAGACUUGUUUGGUCAGAAGACUGCACUGGACCCUGCUUCUUCAGAAUGCUCUAAACCAAGGAGUAGCAAUAGCUUUCAAAUGCUUGAGUACCCUAAGUCUAGAGAACUCAAGUCAGUUUUUAUAGACAGUUCUCUCCCCGUAGUUUGGUCUGGCUCGUUACACUUGUAACGAAGACAUCAUACAUACACUCCCUUCUUGCAGGUACUUCUGUCUCUGUACACAGCUUUCUCAGUGAAAAGCGGAGGAAUUAAGUUUAAAAUAUAAUAUACAUAUGCAUAAAAACAUAACAAGGAAAGCCAUCAUUUUGUACAACUGAAUAAAUUAAUGAUCAUGUAGUUAAGAAAAGCAGAACUUCCUAAGUCCUUCUGCAACACAUUUGACCCCAGAUCAGGAAAUCUUAAGGAAAUGAACUUGAAUAUUGUUUCAUUUUCCUGGAACACAUUCCAUGUUUCAAAAGUCUUAGAAUAUGGACCAAAAUAAGGAUGGUUAUUUCCUUCUUAAUGAAGCUUUCAGAAAGAUAAUUUCCCAGAAAGUUUACAAAAAGAUGAAAAAGAACCACUCUUCCUUCCCAUGUUCCCCACCAGACUUGCCUUGGUUGUCUUGUGAGUUCUGUGGUCAUCUCCUAUUGUCUGGAAGCCACAGUAUCUCAGCUUUACAAAAGGAAACUCCAUGCACACCCUGUGUCACAAUACAGGAAGCUAGCCUCCUCCACCAAAGAGGAGCUUCAUCUGCCUUGACUUGUCAGCGCUUUGCAUGCUGGGAUUUAUGGAGAAUUGCUCAGGCCAUGCUAAGGAAUAUACAUGCAUAAUGGAGGCACUUCAUUAAUGGUUCAUGUGGGGGUGAAUUGUUUUACUAAUAUAAUUAGCUCAAUGAUACAGGUCCAGUAAGGAAGUGAAACCACAGAACUUCCCCACCCCCAAGAGAUGACCUAACAAAGUCAGUCAAUGUUGCAUAAUGUGAUUGUAUCAACUACCACAUAUAAGCACACCAUGCCCAGCAUGGUGGUACAUGCCUGUAAUCCCAGAUGAGACAGGUGGAGCAACCUGUGCAACAAACAUAGUGAAGCUGUGUUAAAACAUCAAAAUAAAAUACACUGGAUAAAUAAAGACCUUAUUAACCA